ACGAGUUUAUUCCUCUAAAACGAUUCUGUAACGAGGAAAAACGUGUUACCACCGUGCCUAUAUUUUAAAAUGAUUCUACGUGAAAAUUCAAAUAUUACCUUUUAUUUUAUUUUUAUAAAUCUACAUCUCGCAGUCGCAGGGUUCUCCAGAGAUUUUUCUCUAAAUUAUUUGAAUUAUUUCGUUUUCGUAAAUCGUGCCCUGUACUUGUCGAUUACUCGCAAUUUAAUAUUUCCAAUGUGUACCUUUGUGUUCCCGACUAUUCUAAUCUCGUGUUUAUAUUUAAGUUGAAUCGACUUAUGUAUGUAUGAGAGUGUGUAUGUGUGUUUAUACGCGUGUUUAUAUCGUAAACGCAAUAUAUUAAGGCCUCUUAGUUACUAACGACAGGUCGUCACGUUUUCAUCCUCCGAGCUACGACGCUACGACGAUACGAAGAUGGCGAUAGAAUUACUUCCCGCUUCUCUUCCAUCGAAAACUUCUUUUCUUCGUUAAAAAAAAGGAGAAAAAAAAUUGUAUUCCAACGUAUGUACACGCGAAAUUCGAAAAGUGCUUGGCUUUAUGUAUAUAAUACUCGUAUCUGGGGGGAGGGGGCAAAAGACGAUUUUUGCCCGAAAUUUGUCUGCGAGAAAGGACGAAAAAAACCUGCGUCUCCUCUUGCCUCGUCGCUUGGCCACAGAAAUCUGAUGCAUGUGCGUGUGGAUCAAUCGGAAGGAUCGCGGAGAGACACGCCAGUCGAUUGUUUAAGAUUUUAGAGAAGAGCGCCCUCUGAAAUAUGGUAUGUAAUGGUAUUUCAACAAGUGUAACGAGUUAUGUUAUGUGUGCAAAUUAUUGGGCAUGAUUUAAACCUUACAAGUUUCAUCUUAAAAUUAUACUAAAUUGUUUUUUCUUUUUCUUUUGUUUUAGGAGAUGACUCCCUCUUCAUAGUGAUCUUGAGUAACCUGACCAAGUCUUUUAGAAGUUUGAGGAACUAUAAAAGGUGUCUUAAGUACAGUCUAAUCCCUAUCUUAAUUCGUCCUAAAUUUCUCUACUACAUGUGGCUCACUGUCAUCGCGGGAUUAGAUAACAGACAGGAUUCUUGGCAGUAUUUGGUACAACAUUCUCGAAAUGGAAUUAUUGGUAUUAUCUGACUGGCUCUGUCUCUCCUGAGUAGAGACGAAAGGUGAUUAAAAGCAAAGCUGAACUGAACUCAAUGCGGUGAUUGCUGUGAAGGAAACGUGAAAGAAACAGUGCGCAUUAAAAACCUGUGAAAGAAACGUUGCAGAGGUAGUCAGUGCUUGGAAGGUAGAACUGAAAAUA